AUUGAACGCUGGCGGCAGGCCUAGCACAUGCAAGUCGAACGGUAACAGAAAGCAGCUUGCUGCUUUGCUGACGAGUGGCGGACGGGUGAGUAAUGUCUGGGAAACUGCCUGAUGGAGGGGGAUAACUACUGGAAACGGUAGCUAAUACCGCAUAACGUCGCAAGACCAAAGAGGGGGACCUUCGGGCCUCUUGCCAUCGGAUGUGCCCAGAUGGGAUUAGCUAGUAGGUGGGGUAACGGCUCACCUAGGCGACGAUCCCUAGCUGGUCUGAGAGGAUGACCAGCCACACUGGAACUGAGACACGGUCCAGACUCCUACGGGAGGCAGCAGUGGGGAAUAUUGCACAAUGGGCGCAAGCCUGAUGCAGCCAUGCCGCGUGUAUGAAGAAGGCCUUCGGGUUGUAAAGUACUUUCAGCGGGGAGGAAGGGAGUAAAGUUAAUACCUUUGCUCAUUGACGUUACCCGCAGAAGAAGCACCGGCUAACUCCGUG
rnacentral:rRNA from 1 species